rnacentral:rRNA from 1 species
GAUGAACGCUGGCGGCGUGCCUAACACAUGCAAGUCGAACGGACGCUUUGAGAAGAGUCUUCGGAUGAUUCUUAAAGUUGUUAGUGGCGGACGGGUGAGUAACGCGUGGGGAACCUGCCUUUGUCCGGGGGAUAGCAGCUGGAGACGGCUGGUAAUACCGCAUAAGACCACGAAGCCGCAUGGCUUUGCGGUAAAAGAUUUAUCGGACAGAGAUGGACCCGCGUCUGAUUAGCUGGUUGGUGAGGUAACGGCCCACCAAGGCGACGAUCGGUAGCCGGACUGAGAGGUUGAACGGCCACAUUGGGACUGAGACACGGCCCAG